CCUCGUCAUCCCCUCUCCUUGUUUCCACUUGCAAUUCAAGAUCUGUUCUGCUCCGAGUAUAGCGGGAAGUUAGGGUUUCGUGCUUUAGUCUCUAGAUCGCGACUUCAGAAUUGGGGACUUUUCUGUCUAAAUCCGAACCCAUUUCAUACUGUGAGAAGGGUACAAUACUAGAUCGAUAUAUUUCGUGCAAUGCUUGUGAUGCUUGUGAAGUACUUGCGACACAAUUGCUUACAUGCUGCAUAUUGAUAUCAUUUUUUUCUGUUUUCUGAAACAGUUAAAUCAGUAUUUCUGGGUCGUAGUUCUAUAGACAAUUUUUUUCCUCAUGUAGCUUAGGAAACUUUUGGCACAAUGAUAGUUCAAGUGGUUGAUUUAUUAAGUCCUGCCAUCGUUUGCUAUUGCUGUGCUGCAGACUGUCCCUGAAAUUGGCUUCAGGGGUUCUCCUUAUUUUUCUUACAAUGAACUUGAUUAGGCUGUUUUUUGUGUAUCCCUACCAGAUUUCGGGAUGAGAUAAAUUUUUGAAGGUCAUUGAGUUUCGUCGCCGACAACUUCAUCAGGAUACACUGUUUGUCUAUAUCAACAGUGCAUUUUCGCCAAACCCAGACGAACUGGUAGUUGACUUGUAUAACAACUUUGGAAUUGAUGGGAAACUGGUGGUAAAUUAUGCUUUAUCAGCAGCAUGGGGCUGAAGUUGCUGCAGCAGCAAAGAGAUACCCUGAAAAUUCUUCCUGGCGAUUGUAAAUCACAUCUAGUUUUAGUGUUCGUUGACACUGUAAAUCUAAUUUUGUAAAGGUUAGUUUUCAUACUAGUGUCUAAUGGCGCACCAUUUACACGGUAGAAGAAUCAAUGAUUUUAUUAUUGUUUAAAAAGUAGCAUGACUGCAUGAGCUCGAUAAUUAAAAUUGAAGAAA